AACGAACGCUGGCGGCAGGCUUAACACAUGCAAGUCGAACGCCCCGCAAGGGGAGUGGCAGACGGGUGAGUAACGCGUGGGAACGUGCCCAAAGGUACGGAACAACUCCGGGAAACUGGAGCUAAUACCGUAUGUGCCCGAAAGGGGAAAGAUUUAUCGCCUUUGGAUCGGCCCGCGUCUGAUUAGCUAGUUGGUAGGGUAAUGGCCUACCAAGGCGACGAUCAGUAGCUGGUCUGAGAGGAUGAUCAGCCACACUGGGACUCGAGACACGGCCCAGACUCCUACGGGAGGCAGCACGUGGGGAAUAUUGGACAAUGGGCGCAAGCCUGAUCCAGCCAUGCCGCGUGAGUGAUGAAGGCCUUAGGGUUGUAAAGCUCUUUUGUCCGGGAGGACUAAUGACCGUACCGGAAGAAUAAGCUCCGGCUAACUUCGUAGCCAGUCAGCCGCGGUAAACUAGUCUACG
rnacentral:rRNA from 1 species